GAGAAAGGUGGGCUGGUACGAUGGACCUUCUCCUUGGGUAAUGAGGACUCGGUGAGACCGGAGAGGAAACUACACGAGAGCUCCUUGGACAGUGUUCUGCAGAGGGAAGCGGCGAUCUCAUGAUGAAAACGGACUCACAGAGACUGUUCUUGAAGAUCGUCACAUGACUGCACCCAGACACCAACACUUGUCGGAGACAGGUACGGAGGCUGAUUCACAUUGAUGCAAUCGAGAAGCAACUGCCCUGCCGUCUCCAUCACACAGGAAACGGCCCUAAGGACAGCACAGCCUGGUGCCCAGCCGCGGCAGCUCUUGGGUAACGUUGGGUGGAGGAGCAGUACCCCUCAGUGCCCCUCUGCAGUCCUUUAAAAACCUCUUCUCACUGCCCACCCAGAUCCUGGUUAGGUUCAUCUCAACGCUGAAAGCCUGGCUCUCCUUCACUGUGGCCAAGCAAACCCUAAGGGUUCUGGGAGGCCACUUAUCACUUCUGGCUCUAAUCCUGCCGUAAUCUUUUCUUACCCACCUUCUGGGACCCACAGUGAGCUUGCUCCUCGGUUCCUUUGGUAACUAGUAAACGGCGCUGUCUGUGUUUUGUCUUAACUUUACUUUUUAAACCUGUAAAGUUUACAGUUACUAAUUUCUGUAUGUUUCUGUCUGCAUCUCUAACAUACCAAUGUAAACCUCUUCAUGGGAGAAAUCAUAGUAUACACUUCUGUAUAAAUCCUGCUCACAACGAAAGAUCAAUGCCGUGGAUAAAGAACUCAAUAAAUAUUUAGCUAA